rnacentral:rRNA from 1 species
AGGUAGCGAAAUUCCUUGUCGGGUAAGUUCCGACCUGCACGAAUGGCAUAACGAUGGCCACACUGUCUCCUCCCGAGACUCAGUGAAGUUGAAAUGUUUGUGAUGAUGCAAUCUACCCGCGGCUAGACGGAAAGACCCCAUGAACCUUUACUGCAGCUUUGCAUUGAACUGUGAACCGAUUUGUGUAGGAUAGGUGGGAGGCAGAGAAGAGGCCACGCCAGUGGUCUUGGAGCCGACCUUGAAAUACCACCCUGAUUUGUUUGCGGUUCUAACCACGGACAGUGAUCCUGUCUUGGGACCGUGCAUGGUAGGCAGUUUGACUGGGGCGGUCUCCUCCUAAAGGGUAACGGAGGAGUACGAAGGUACGCUAGGUACGGUCGGAAAUCGUGCUGAUAGUGCAAUGGCAAAAGCGUGCUUGACUGCGAGAGCAACAACUCGAGCAGAUGCGAAAGCAGGUCAUAGUGAUCCGGUGGCUCUGAAUGGAAGGGCCAUCGCUCAACGGAUAAAAGGUACUCUGGGGAUAACAGGCUGAUACCGCCCAAGAGUUCAUAUCGACGGCGGUGUUUGGCACCUCGAUGUCGGCUCAUCUCAUCCUGGGGCUGUAGUCGGUCCCAAGGGUAUGGCUGUUCGCCAUUUAAAGAGGUACGUGAGCUGGGUUUAAAACGUCGUGAGACAGUUUGGUCCCUAUCUGCCGUGGGCGUUGGAAGAUUGACGGGGGCUGCUCCUAGUACGAGAGGACCGGAGUGGACGCACCUCUGGUGUACCGGUUGUCACGCCAGUGGCAUUGCCGGGUAGCUAAGUGCGGAAGAGAUAACCGCUGAAAGCAUCUAAGCGGGAAACUUGCCUGAAGAUGAGUCUUCCCGGAGGUUGAACCUCCCUCAAGAGUCGUCCGAGACCAGGACGUCGAUAGGUCAGGUGUGUAAGCGCUGUAAGGCGUUGAGCUAACUGAUACUAAUUGCUCGUGAGGCUUGAUCCU